rnacentral:rRNA from 1 species
CGUGUAGGCGGCUUGUUAAGUCGGACGUGAAAUCCCUUGGCUCAACCAAGGAACUGCGUCCGAUACUGGCAAGCUAGAGUAUCGGAGGGGGUGGCGGAAUUCCCGGUGUAGAGGUGAAAUUCGUAGAUAUCGGGAGGAACACCUGUGGCGAAGGCGGCCACCUGGAAGAUUACUGACGCUGAGACGCGAAAGCGUGGGGAGCAAACAGGAUUAGAUACCCUGGUAGUCC